rnacentral:tRNA from 1 species
AGGAUAAUAGUUAAUAAAUAACAGUUAAUUUGCACUUAAAAAUUGUUAAGACUUAUCUUAACUUAUCUUAA